ensembl:piRNA 21ur-13451 ncRNA
UAUUUUAACGCUACCUCAAAA